ensembl:lncRNA
AAAAGUAUCAAUUAGCUAAACAAAAGUUCCUUUUCUUCCCUAAGAACAUAGGGCUGGCUGCACAGGCUUCACAGAGCCUUGCUAAAAAGCCUGUCUUCUUCUUUCUUAUAGCUCCCUUUUAGGUACAGAAAGGUCACUGUCAGGUCUCCCCAAAGCCUUACCUUCGCCAGGCUGAACAGCCCCAGGAAUCUCAGCCUGCCCACAUAGGAGAGGUGUUCCAACUCUUGGAUUUCUUUUGUGGCUCUCCUCUGGAUGUGCUCCAACAGGUCUGUGUCUCUCCUGUAUUGAGGACUCCACAUCAGGAUGCAAUACUCCAGUGCUCCUUUUCUGAGGACUAUGGGCUAAACUCCAUUAGUGAGCAAAGAUCACUAAAGCUCUGCCACUGAAGUCAGAGCUGCCUUCUGUCAGCAAAGCCAAGAGUUACUUGGAAUUGUAUGGAUGGGGAACAGGAUAGAUCCAGGGAAAAAGAAGUGAAUCUGCGGAGAUUUCUUUUAACUGGAGUAUUGCCCAAGGUGGAUGUUUUGCUGCUGCCCAUGAAAAAUAAGUGUGAUUUUCACCCUCCAGCUGCAAAUAGGAACAAGUAUCAUUUGUAAGGGAGUUGUGGAUCUUUCAUAAUGCAAUGUUGUUUCAGGUGGAUUGACCUAAGCCUGAGAACAUUAAGCUUCCCAUCCUUUCCAGAAGCAAAGGUGUAUUCCAACAGUUCAGACCACUUCAGCUAUUCUUGCAUGAAGAAUGUGCUGAAGAUUAUUUCAUCCUGAAUUUUGUUGUGAUCUAGAAACAUGGAGAAAGAACUACAAGAACAACCACGUUUCUUUUCAGUGAUGUCCUUGUGUAACAUGGAGCUUUUAUUUUAACUUGAAAAUUCAUUCAGGCAUGAUUUAGGGUUAUUGAAGUAGUAAGAUCUGCUAGAAGACAAUGGAAGCAAAAAGAAGAAAUUAGAGCAGAAGAAAAUGAGGAACAGAGAAUGUGGAAAAAUUCCAGGAAUGAGAAAGAGACAGAAAACACAGAAGAAAGGCGGUAUAGACAGAAAAGAAAACUGUCUUUAACUAUUAUUGAGCAGGUUUAUGCAGUCUGAGACAGUGAUACAAAUAGCUACUCAGAUUCUGCAGUGUGUACGCUGGGUGAUAUAUGUUAACCUGAUAUACAGUCUGGUGAAUUUUGCAUACCUUUGAAGUCCACAGAGAAAAACUAUUAAAUUACUGUGACUUCUUUGAUAUACGAUAUUUCAUUAAUGGAAACUGAGAAUCCAAACAAAUGGAAGAUCAAGUGGUCCAUAACUAAAUGGAGCACUACAGAAGGAUAAAAUGAACCAGACUGGGCUGGAGGGAUUAUAUGCUGACAUAUGGAAAGUGGUGCAGAUGGAUUUCCUCAAGAUUAAAUAAGACAACUAAUAGUGUAGACCUUUGCCACCAGGCUAACUUGCAAAUUCCUUCUUUCUGAAAUCUAAUUUGAUUAAAGCGAAAAGCUGAAAGGCAAUUCUGAUUUGCUAACACUUUGCAUGGCUCCCGUGAAAUCAUGUAAUCUGAAAUUUUUUGUGUUGCAUGUAGUAGAGGUUAUGACUUGCAGAUGCAUGAAAUUCUAUGCAUGUAAACAGUUCCAUUUUGUGGAAUUUUUUAAAAAUGUUGUUUAGCAGCUUUAGUUCUGUGGAUACUCUGACAUUUUACGAUACAUAGAUUGAGUUGGAAAGGGAAGGAGAGGAUCAUAAUGAAAGAUACUGUGGGGGUCAGCAAGAGUCUGUAAAACUCAUCUUGAGAUUCUCCUGAUCAUCUUGCUUGGAGUUACACUUUGUACUUGGUGCUGUGUUAUCAGGGAUGUGAAUGGGAGCUGCAACUACAGAUCAUGGAACUGCUUGCAGAAUGGCAGUCUAGAAUUUGUGUUGAGAACACCCUUAACUUGUAUUUUCCUGGGUAGACCUGCCCACGUUCCCAGGUCAUUUGCUGAGUUGGAAGAAGAAAAGCAAAAAUAGGUACCUACACAUAGCUAAUCAACAUUUUCCCAUAGAAAGAAAUUUAAGUAUGCCACUGUAAGCUAAAGGAAGUUGGUACUUCUUUUAGAGGAAGCCCUCUAUGACAAUAUGAUAAACCCAUCCUUUGCUACCUGUUAUGAUAUCCAGUGCUUCAAUGCAGUAAAAAUUAUGUUGAUGAGAACUCUUCAUUAAGGGAAUCUACUGAGAAAACAGGUGUUAUCUGAAGUCUAGAAUGGACACGUACAAUGUGCCUGAUUCUCAAUAUGGGUGUCAAUUUAAAGUAAGGUUGAUUAAAGGGUCUCUUCCGAUACUAUUUUCAGUCCCAAGUCUGUACUUCAGUGACUGACUUCCAAAAUGCUUACUUGUUGCUUACUUGUUGUCUUUUCUUUCAGAUGUAGUUACAGGUGGCUGCCUUAGUGUGAAAUUCAUGUUGGCUAUUUCUUUGUCUCUGGUAUUUUCACCUCAGUAGUAGCUAGCAGAGUCUCCACAGCAUGUCUCAGUGUCCUCUAAUUCAUUCACACAAACAAUGUAAUGCUAGCAGGGCAGCACCUUGAUUGAGAUUAGGCUCCAUGACUGAAUGAUGUUUCUAUUGAAUUCGUACUAACGUCGCCUGCAAGAUUUAUUUUUCUGCCCUGCAAAAGAGUUGACCUUUGUGUGCCAUAUGAUUUUCUAUUCAGACUGCAAUAUAGUGCCAGAAGCUUCCUUAUUUCUGUUAAUAUCAAAUGUGCAUAAUACCCAUUUUUGGUCUUCAACUCAGCUACUACCUAGAGGUUGCAGCUCCUGAAAUUGUGCAGAAGUGUUAAUUUUGCCAAACUUCAGAGAAUAUGCACUAGGGCAAUAUUUUAUUAUUGUUAUUAUUAUUACUUUUAACACUGAAGUUGGAAUUUAAAUAAAUAAAAACUUAGGUUUAUCUGUCAAGCAAAAUGAAAGCCCAAGAUCUAUUACUGUUAAACUUAAUACUAGAGCUAAAGAAUAUUAUGCCACUGGUCAGGAAUAUGCCCUAAAAUCCAACAAUUUGGUGGUGAUUGACAAAUGAAGUAAAGCAAGAGGUGUGUUGUUGUUGUUUUUUUUUUGAAUCCUACAUGAUCUGUUGCAAAAAUUCUCAAGAUGUCUUUCUUCUGGACAUAAAUAUCUGACUUGAAGUUUUGGAAAAAAAAAACUCCUUUUCAUUACAUGUAAAAUUCAACAUGUGUCAAAUUGCUGUUCUUCCCCACCAGUUUUGCUAACAUUGUAAAUUCUUCUGUAGAACCUAUCAACAGCAGAGAUGAAUUUGGCAUUUCUUCUUUCUAGCAAAAGCUGCAUGUAUUUCUUUCAUCUGAGACCACCGAUUGCUGAUGUGUUUAGUUUUGCUUGUUCUUUUUUGCAGUAUUCCUUUGCUUUUUCCAUUAAUUAAGAUACUAUAUAAAUGCAUAUUGUACUGAUAAACCUUAAAUCAACUCUUCUAACAUGUUUGUAUGGAAAAUACUGUGAUGAGAAAGCAUGAAUUCUUCAUUUAGUGUUGGCCUUCACUGCAUUGCAGCACUGUGUUCUAACAAAUGGGUUCGUACACCCCCAGGUACCUUCUGUAACUCCUUCCUCCGUUUCUUCUAGUGCAACACUUAGACAAGACAACACCUAAGUAAAAGUUACAGCAAAGUCUAUAGUUUUCAGGACAAGGCAAUUAUUUGUCGUAUUUUCAAAGUUGGUUGUGCUUGUCAUCAAUUGUUUCUCUAGGUGGUGUGUGAUGGCCAUGUAGGAGGAAGGACAUGAGAGUGAAGCCUUCACAGGUGAAGUGAGGUUUCUUUUUUACCUUUAAAGGAGAGUAGCACCAGGCUGUGCCUUCCUGCCCUUUAACAGACACAAAACAUAAGUAGUUAUAUAUUCCUCUUGUCCUCAAAACUCAUAUGGCUUUACGUAGUUCCCCUCCUUUUCUGUAGUUUAACUGUAUUUUUUGUCUCUUGGCUGAAGGAACAUUAAGGAUCACUGGGAAUCUGAGUCCCCUUUGCCUGGUCCUCAGCACAGCAGUGCUUGAGUACUCAGCAGGUUUUCUCCUACCAGCUAUAGAGGAAGAAAUACUCAAGGCUGCAGGAAGUUAUGUUUCCAGAAAGACAAGAUAAAUGAAAGAUUGCAAACAUCACAACAGACAUUCACUAGGUCUGAACUGUGUCAGUACUGGAUAUAGGAUGCAAACUCUAUUUUGGAAGAAGGGAAGGCUUCCAGGGAAAGGGAGAGGUAAUACUAAUAGAGGAAAAAGAUGUUUCUCUCUGAGAUGAGGGGAGAAGGAAGUGAAGGUUAAGUUGUAGACAUUAGCCCUUUCUUCUUUACAAUGAAAUAAUGUUUCUUGUUUUAAAGUGUUGCCUUCAAUGCUGUUGAAUGCUACUUCCUCUGCAGGCCAGGGAGACAUUGACCAAUGUCCUCUCCCGAACUCCUCACAUCAGAUAGCUGUCAGCAGUAUCUCCAUUUCCCAAGUUGUUUGACAACUCUAUGGGCUUAAAAGAAAGUCAGACUCACAUGGUGAAGAAGCAAUAUUAUGAAUUAAUUGAUGGUUUGUGACUUAAGGUUUGUGAGAUGAAAAUCAAGGUGAAAUACAGGCAGGAUCUAAGCUGUGCUAAAGAUGCUGAGGUAUUGAGCUUGUCAGAGGGAGUCAGCAUAGUUCGCAUAAACAAUAGGGAGUGCCAGCAUGCUGAGAGAACCUGAGGCAUGGAAAAAAUGAUUAACAUCAUGUUGUAGAGGCAGACUGUGUUAAGAAGAUACAAUUGUAUUUUUUAAUGCUUGCAUGGAAUAAUUAAUGGAAAAACUGAGGCAGAGAAGCGGGUGGCUUGACUAGGAUGUCACCACAAAUAAUUUCAGAAUCAAGACCACUUCUACAAAGUGAAGCUUAAGGAAGUAGAGGUCUUUUUUAAUCUGCACAUAUUUGAAUUUAGGAAAAUUGUUCAAAAUUACACCUGGAGUGCAAGAGUUAAAUCUAAUGCUGGGAAUGUCUGCUCACGAAUAUUUGUCAUCACUCAGAAUAACACUAGUUUGAGUAGUUGGCUGCUUUCUGUUGCUUUGUUUGGCUGUAAAGCAGAAGGAUUGGAACAGUGAAAUAGAUAUUUUAACACAUACACAGGCAAAAUUCCAUUUGUUUUUUCAUCCAAAACAAGUGGCCUUUUAGCUGUUGUGAUAAGUCAAAAAUCUAGAUAUUUUCCUCAAUUUUAACAGGAACUAGAGGUAAAGAUCUUUUAGGCCAAAUAUUCAAAAUGGUCUUACACCAUCUUAAUUUUUUUGAUUUAAUAUGGUUAUUUUGGUUAUCUUGCUGUCCUCAGAAUAACUGAUUAUCCUUCCUUUUGGACAAGAGGCCAAAUGAGUGAAGUUCUACGUUUAAGUUGUAUGACUUAAAAUUACCUAGGGGGUAACUAAUGUAGAAAUAGUAGAAAGUAGGUAAACAUCUUGAAUACAAUGGAGCUGCUGCCAACACACAGCCAGAGACCAGAUUAAGAAUCAAAAUUUCAGAAGUAAGUAUGAGGGAAGAUGUGUCCAUAUAACAGGAUGAUUUAUUUUUGCUAUUAUGUUUUGUUUCUCUUCUAGGCCUCCACAGAAAACUGCUUUGUGGUCUUUCCGUAUGGCAUCACAGAAAAAGGAAUAAUUAUUCAGUUUGAAACUCCUGAGUGAUUUGUCAGAAUUAGUCUGAUAAACAUCACUGAACAUCUCUCACUGGUUGGUUGAAGAACUGAGCAAUGCUAAGUCUUUGAGUCCUCCUGAGGGAAGUAGUAGUUAAAGAAGAUGUGGAAGAUAAGUAAAAGAGGAAAUUUUAUAUAGCUGUAAUCCUUUUGCUUUCUUUUCUGCAGAAGAUUUGCCUAAGGAAUAAUUGUAAGAAAAAAUAGAUUACUGCAAGGUUUAUUGGCUGUACGUAUGAUUUAUUUUUUUUAACAGAUUUGCUUGAAAUACUGAACGAGGAGAUGAGAAAUGCUUUCAUGUUUUUCUGUUACUUAGAGCUUUGAUGUUUCUGUGUUGGGUGCUACCAGAAAGGAAAUAACCAGCUAUAUAAUAGUUUCAGUGGGCAGAAGCUCCAAAACUUGCAUGGAAAUUUUCUUAUGACAUCAAGAACAGUGUCUCUGAUGCUACAGUCAACACACCUUGGUUCUUGGAGAAUUUCUCAUCAAAACAGAUAUGUUUCUGAAAGCAAGAAAUUCAAGUCUGACAGACUUUAGUGAAAAUUGAUUUUGUUUAAAAAUUCUUGCCCUGUCUACAGCUUGCAGAGACAUGCUUUACCAUUUGUUUAAUUAUCUUUGGGGUUAAUUUUUGUCUAGGAUCUUGCAGAACAAAAGCUGUAUUAUGUUAAGAACACCUCAUCCAGAGAUAAUAAGCCAAACAUGUUUAUUCUAUUAGAUGUCCUAUAGUCUCCUAACAUUGACAAAAUGAGGCUGAAUGUUUGCACAUGAUCUAAACUAGAAUAUGUGAAAUCAAGUUCUUGUCUGGGCACAAAUGAUUUAGGACCAGGAGAAGUCUGAUUUGAGUGGAAGGAGUUACUAUAGUCAUAACCAACAGAACUCUAAACUGCACUAGACUGAAAGUGAUAAUUUCCAAAGACCACUCACAGUAAAAAUUUACUGGUUUAUGCUGGAGGAAACUGAGGUAAAAGGAGGUCAGAUCAGCACAGCAACACGCUGCCACAUGUGCUGUUCCUGAGUGAAGGGCAGUCAGUUAAACAUGGUGAGCCUACCACUGGUGGAAAAGUAAAGCUCUGAGAGUGGAUCCCUUGACACCGUGGCAGCAUUUCUGACCUUAAUCAGUCCUGAGAGGGAUCUGAUGAGUUGAAAGGCAGGGCAUCUGUUACAUUAUAGCCAAAUUAUCUUUUAAAAAUUGAGAGAGGGAAAAAUAGAAAUCCACAUGGUACAAAACUUUUGGUUCUGUUAUUAUACUUUGCAAUUGUUCUGAUUUUAAGGAAAAGUAAACCCAAAUAAUUAGGCAAUCCAUUAUUAGGAGGUUGAUGAUCAAAUGAAUGCACUGAGUUGGCAGUUGUUGCCCACAUGUAAGUGUCUAUUGAUGAUAUUAAAUGCUCUAGGGUAGAUUAGACAUCUGCAAGGGACUGUGCCAUUUUGAAAGAGAAGCUGCAGGCCAGAUCAAUCCAGGCAACCUAGCAUUAUCUGACAUCUGGCAUUAGGUGCGUAUAAGAUAGGAUUUAGUUCAGAUGUCUAAAUAUAGAUAUCUAUGCUUAAGACAAGGUGCCCAGACUCUGACAUAAGUCAAUAGAAAGCUACUCUAUAGGGUAAUGAAAUGUAGAGGAUGAUAAACUUUAUGCCAAAUAGGCAGCUGUUGGCUGGUCAAAUGAAAGUCCGUAGGUUUAACCGACUAUGUGCUAAGUCUCCAUUGAUUCCAAUGGACAUUUGGGCGUACAGGAGCUACAUGUACGUUUAGGUAUCUUAACUUUGACUCGAAUUCUACCCAGCUAAGUCUGAACUGGUGCAAAGACCUGACUGCAACAGUGUCAUUGGAAGUCUGCUCUCUCUGGAGGCUCCUGAGUUGUGUAACAACUCUGUGUCUAUGUAACCAGAUAGAUGCAUUCAAUGAUCUAGGCUCUGGUUUUGGUCCCUCCAUCCUUCAGACUAAUAGAAAUCAGCAAGUUUUCCUCCCUCCUGAUGGCCAGUAUUUCUUACAAUAAUAUAUACUGCAUGACAGGAUGCAGUGCCUUUAGAGUCCCUUAUCAUACAUCCAUGACUGGAUAUGCUAUAGAGUGUGUUGCUGUUUGUUUACUAGUCACGAGGGUAGAGAAAAAUGAACAAAGUAAACUGUUUACUGUGUUUUGUCAAGUUGCAUACAGAGGAAAUAAUGGAAAUGCAGAUCAUGAACAAUGAAAUUGUGAUGGAAUCUUCUCAUUCAAGAAAUAGCUUUGCUUUUCUCAUAACAUGUCUAGGAUAUGUUAUAAAUAGGACACAGAAACUUAUAAAGAAGUUUACCUUGAAAUUAAGAUCAGGUACGAAAAUUCUAUGUCUGAAAGAAUGCGCAGAAGAAAAUUGACCUUCUGGCUAUUUUCAGAGAAUCCUAUCUAUUUAUGUCCCAUCACCAUUACGUUUUUUCAGGGCAGAACAGAUUGUUUCUCCUGUUUAUAGAAUACUAUAAAAUUUCUUUGUCUUAUUGUGGUGUGUAAUGAAAAUUUUUAGAACUUCAGAAAGUUUUGAGAGAAUUGUCUGUCAUUCCUUCCUUUCUUUCUGCUCCCUGUAUGC